UGUCGGCUGAAUCAGAGAUUGGCGACACAAAUUAAAACAUUUUGUAUUAGGAAAGAGUUAUGUCUCUGAAUGCAGAAAUUAAAGCAACAAUCGUUGCUGAAUACGCACAGUGUGA
rnacentral:ncRNA from 1 species